AAGACUGUGCUUUCAGGGGUCACUUCUAUAGUUUGUUACUGGAGAAGUUUCUCUGAACGUGUAGAGCACCCGAAACCAUGAGGAAGUGCAGCGUUCUCUCCUGAGUGUGAAGCCGGCUCUUGGCUUGCUUCUGCAACUGCCGUUAGCCACUGAUGAUCGUUCGUCUCUUCUUAAUGGAAGAGGAAGAGGGAGAGAAUGCCGUCUGAGUGGC